CCAAUAGCGUAUAUUAAAGUUGUUGCAGUUAAAAAGCUCGUAGUUGAAUUUCGAGACCGGUCUACUGGUCGUGCUUUUGUACGUACUGGUAUAAUCGGUUUCUCUCUUCUGACGAAAUAUAAUGCCAUUAAUUUGGUGUUUUAGGGAAUCAGGACUGUUACUUUGAAAAAAUUAGAGUGUUUAAAGCAGGCUCACGCUUG
rnacentral:rRNA from 1 species